GACGAACGCUGGCGGCGUGCUUAACACAUGCAAGUCGAACGGAAAGGCCCUGCUUGCAGGGUACUCGAGUGGCGAACGGGUGAGUAACACGUGGGAGAUCUGCCCUGCACUUCGGGAUAAGCUUGGGAAACUGGGUCUAAUACCGGAUAGGAACCAUCUUUAGUGUGGUGGUUGGAAAGUUUUUUCGGUGUAGGAUGAGCUCGCGGCCUAUCAGCUUGUUGGUGGGGUAAUGGCCUACCAAGGCGGCGACGGGUAGCCGGCCUGAGAGGGUGUACGGCCACAUUGGGACUGAGCUACGGCCCAGACUCCUACGGGAGGCAGCAGUGGGGAAUAUUGCACAAUGGGCGCAAGCCUGAUGCAGCGACGCCGCGUGGGGGAUGAAGGCCUUCGGGUUGUAAACUCCUUUCGCUAGGGACGAAGCUUUGUUGUGACGGUACCUAGAGAAGAAGCACCGGCUAACUACGUG
rnacentral:rRNA from 1 species